CUUCCGUGGGCUGUGCCCGCACAACUCCAACCAGUGGCAAAGGUGACGACAGAGAGCGUGGCCUUAAUCUCAGGACUAAUUAUCAAUCCUGUGGAAAAAAAAAACCCCACAGCAGAGUCAGCCCCUGAUUAUCCCAGAGGCCGUGUAAAAACGCUAGGGUGAAAGGGAGAAAAAAAAGCAAACGUUGAAUUCAGAAGCUUAUGUGGAGUCCUUCUGUAUUCUGUUGCGUAGCUAGAGGGAUUUGGGGAGAUUUAAUUCCAUAAAACUGUCCUCUCGUCCACAUGACGUUCAGACUGCAAGUGCUCAAGUUGAUACACCGAAUUGUAACGAGGCAAGAUCGGAGACCACUGCCAUAAGGCUAGAUUAAGGCCCUUAUAAGACGUUUUGGAUCAACGCGAAGCCAGUAUGCCGCGGUGCAACGCAGAAGGACAUUUGUCACAUUUUAAGUCAUAAACGUGUUACCAGGAUCCGGGACUCGAAUAUCUGGAAGACGGCAAUAACAGUCUAUACUUGCAGAUCUCACGUGCGGCAGAGCACCUGAGGGGCGCGUGGAUACAUCACGAUGACCAGGACUUAAUGACCACAAACAAGAGCGAUCAUUUAAAAACAGGUGUAUGCAAAUGUUUGGCACAUAGCUACCAUGUAGAGAUUCUAUUGCUGAACUAUCUAAAUGUCUGAAGAGGAACUCAUCGCCCUGAGGAGCCAAGCGAGAAAAAAAAGUACAAUUAAAUAGUGAACACUGAAUCUACUCUCCACCAGAGUGAGGAGUGCGCACCUCACCCUUCUCUGUGAGUUCAAAGGCACAGGAGCUCAGAGGGUGGGAUUUGUUCAGGCAUAUUUAGUAAACCGCUGUAUUUGAAUUGUAGUGUGCAAGUCCCUGAGAUCACAUUUAAGAAAUGUUACAUUGUAAGAUUUUGUGUGAA